AGUGAACGCUGGCGGUAGGCCUAACACAUGCAAGUCGAACGGCAGCACAGUAAGAGCUUGCUCUUACGGGUGGCGAGUGGCGGACGGGUGAGGAAUACAUCGGAAUCUACUUUUUCGUGGGGUAUAACGUAGGGAAACUUACGCUAAUACCGCAUACGACCUACGGGUGAAAGCAGGGGAUCUUCGGACCUUGCGCGAUUGAAUGAGCCGAUGUCGGAUUAGCUAGUUGGCGGGGUAAAGGCCCACCAAGGCGACGAUCCGUAGCUGGUCUGAGAGGAUGAUCAGCCACACUGGAACUGAGACACGGUCCAGACUCCUACAGGAGGCAGCAGUGGGGAAUAUUGGACAAUGGGCGCAAGCCUGAUCCAGCCAUACCGCGUGGGUGAAGAAGGCCUUCGGGUUGUAAAGCCCUUUUGUUGGGAAAGAAAAGCAGAAGGUUAAUACCCCGCUGUUCUGACGGUACCCAAAGAAUAAGCACCGGCUAACUUCGUG
rnacentral:rRNA from 1 species